rnacentral:rRNA from 1 species
AUACGAAGGGGGCUAGCGUUGUUCGGAAUUACUGGGCGUAAAGCUCACGUAGGCGGAUAUUUAAGUCAGGGGUGAAAUCCCAGAGCUCAACUCUGGAACUGCCUUUGAUACUGGGUAUCUUGAGUAUGGAAGAGGUAAGUGGAAUUCCGAGUGUAGAGGUGAAAUUCGUAGAUAUUCGGAGGAACACCAGUGGCGAAGGCGGCUUACUGGUCCAUUACUGACGCUGAGGUGCGAAAGCGUGGGGAGCAAACAGGAUUAGAAACCCUAGUAGUCC